rnacentral:rRNA from 1 species
CCUACGGGAGGCUGCAGUGGGGAAUAUUGGACAAUGGGGGGAACCCUGAUCCAGCCAUGCCGCGUGUGUGAAGAAGGCCCUCGGGUUGUAAAGCACUUUCAGUGAGGAAGAACGCCUGGUGGUUAAUACCCAUCAGGAAAGACAUCACUCACAGAAGAAGCACCGGCUAACUCCGUGCCAGCAGCCGCGGUAAUACGGAGGGUGCGAGCGUUAAUCGGAAUUACUGGGCGUAAAGCGCGCGUAGGUGGCUUGAUAAGCCGGUUGUGAAAGCCCCGGGCUCAACCUGGGAACGGCAUCCGGAACUGUCAAGCUAGAGUGCAGGAGAGGAAGGUAGAAUUCCCGGUGUAGCGGUGAAAUGCGUAGAGAUCGGGAGGAAUACCAGUGGCGAAGGCGGCCUUCUGGACUGACACUGACACUGAGGUGCGAAAGCGUGGGUAGCAAACAGGAUUAGACACCCGAGUAGUC